rnacentral:rRNA from 1 species
GAUGAACGCUGGCGGCGUGCCUAAUACAUGCAAGUCGAGCGAACGGACGAGAAGCUUGCUUUUCUGAUGUUAGCGGCGGACGGGUGAGUAACACGUGGAUAACCUACCUAUAAGACUGGGAUAACUUCGGGAAACCGGAGCUAAUACCGGAUAAUAUUUUGAACCGCAUGGUUCAAAAGUGAAAGACGGUCUUGCUGUCACUUAUAGAUGGAUCCGCGCUGCAUUAGCUAGUUGGUAAGGUAACGGCUUACCAAGGCGACGAUGCGUAGCCGACCUGAGAGGGUGAUCGGCCACACUGGAACUGAGACACGGUCCAGACUCCUACGGGAGGCAGCAGUAGGGAAUCUUCCGCAAUGGGCGAAAGCCUGACGGAGCAACGCCGCGUGAGUGAUGAAGGUCUUCGGAUCGUAAAACUCUGUUAUUAGGGAAGAACAUAUGUGUAAGUAACUGUGCACAUCUUGACGGUACCUAAUCAGAAAGCCACGGCUAACUACGUG